CCUCACAGGUUUCUGGGACUGCAUUCAUGAACUCAUCCUUUGAAGUAUUUCAACAAGCUUUUUCAUGUAACUAAUCUGCGGAAGGUAGAAAGGGGAAAACUGUUGGGUGCUAAAAUGACAACUGGUUCAAGGGGUCCUUGCUUCCAGAGCUCCCAAGAUGGUGGUGGGCCACUUCCAAGAUGGUGGCAAGAGUCGUAUUCUCUGACCUGGGGUUCUCGGUCUCAUGGAUUCCAAGGAAUGGAAUCUUGCGCCAUGUGGCUAUAAGUUCAGUUUCUGCUGCUGCAACUUUACAACUGAAUCAGCUUGAAAAAGAUUAAGUAUAUGGCCAAGGCUCGUUUUGUUUGUCGAAGAUCAGAUGGUUGUAGAAUCUACAAGGAACUUAAACAAAUUUACGAGAAAAAACAACCCCAUUAAAAAGUGGGUGAAGGAAAUAAACAGACCCUUCUCAUAAGAAGACAUUUACGUGGCCAAAGUACGUAUGAAAAAAACCUCAUCAUCACUGGUCAUUAGAGAAAUGCAAAUCAAAACCACAGUGAGAUACCAUCUCAUGCCAGUUAAAAUGGCAAUCAUUAAAAAUUCUAGCAACAACAGAUGCUGGCAAGGAUGCUCAGAAAUAGGAUCACUUUUACACUGCUGGUGGGAGUGUAAAUUAGUUCAACCAUUGUGGAAGACAGUGUGGCGAUUCUUCGAGGAUCUAGAACCAGAAAUACCACUUGACCCAGCAAUCCCAUUACUGGGUAUAUACGCAAAGGAUUAUACAUCAUUCCACUACAAGGACAUAUGCAUAUACAUGUUUAUUACAGAACUAUUUACAAUAGCAAAGACUCGGAACCAACCCAAAUGCCCAUCAAUGAUAGACUGGAUAAAGAAAAUAUGGCACAUAUACACCAUGUAAUACUAUGCGCCAUAAAAAAGAAUGAGUUCAUGUCCUUUGCAGGGACACGGAUGAAGCUGGAAACUAUCAUCCUCAGAAAACUAACACAGGAACAGAAAAACCAAAUGCCCCAUGUUCUCACUUAUAAGUGGGAGCUGAACCAUGAGAACACAUGGACACAGGGAGGGAAACAUCACACACCAGGGCCUAUUGGUGGGUGAGGGGAAAGAGGAGGGAGAGCAUCAGGACAAAUACCUAAUGCAAGCUGAGCCUAAAACCUAUGAUGGGUUGAUAGGUGCAGCAAACCACCAUGGCACAUGUAAACUUGUGUAACGAAUCUGCAUGUUCAGCACAUGUAUCCCAGAACUUAAAAAAAACAGAAAAAGAAAAAGCAUUUGGAAUUACUUUGGAUGAAGUUUUCUAGAACCACAGUGAAAAUGGGAAGAUUAAUGAAGGAAUCAGAUAUAGAUUAAGAUUUUUGAGGGGUUUUAAGAGCAUCGGGAUUCUAUAGCAUGCUUCUAAGAAAAAGGUGUCUACCUUAACUAAUACCUUCACCUGUUUCUAUAUAAUAGAAUGCUAUUGUUACGAUCAAUACAAGAGAUUAAAACAU